UACGGAGGGAGCUAGCGUUGUUCGGAAUUACUGGGCGUAAAGCGAACGUAGGCGGCUUUUUAAGUCAGGGGUGAAAUCCCGGAGCUCAACUCCGGAACUGCCCUUGAAACUGAAGAGCUAGAAUCCUGGAGAGGCGAGUGGAAUUCCGAGUGUAGAGGUGAAAUUCGUAGAUAUUCGGAAGAACACCAGUGGCGAAGGCGACUCGCUGGACAGGUAUUGACGCUGAGGUUCGAAAGCGUGGGGAGCAAACAGG
rnacentral:rRNA from 1 species